GUCCACGCCUUAAACGAUGGAUACUAGGUGUCGGGCCGAAAGGCUCGGUGCCAAAGCUAACGCAUUAAGUAUCUCACCUGGGGAGUACGAUCGCAAGGUUGAAACUCAAAGGAAUUGACGGGGGCCCGCACAAGCAGUGGAGCAUGUGGUUCAAUUCGAUGCAACGCGAAGAACCUUACCUGGGUUUGAAAGGCAAGUGACAGGCGAUGAAAGUCGCCCUCCCCGCAAGGGGCACUUGUACAGGUGCUGCAUGGCUGUCGU
rnacentral:rRNA from 1 species